CCAAUAGCGUAUAUUAAAGUUGUUGCAGUUAAAAAGCUCGUCGUUGAAUUUUGGGUUUGGCCGAUUGGUCCGUUCUUGUAACGAGUACUGGUCGGUUGGGCCUCACCGCCUGGUGAUGCGUAAUGUCCUUUAUUGGGUGUUGCGAGUAGUCAGGACCUUUACCUUGAAAAAAUUAGAGUGUUUAAAGCAGGCUUAUGCCGGAAUACAUUAGCAUGGAAUAAUAGAAUAGGACGAUGAUUCUAUUUUGUUGGUUUCUAGGAGCAUCGUAAUGAUUAAUAGGGAUAGUUGGGGGCAUUAGUAUUCAAUUGUCAGAGGUGAAAUUCUUGGAUUUAUUGAAGACUAACUACUGCGAAAGCAUUUGCCAAGGAUGUUUUCAUUAAUCAAGAACGAAAGUUAGGGGAUCGAAGACGAUCAGAUACCGUCGUAGUCUUAACCAUAAACUAUGCCGACUAGGGAUCGGGCGAUGUUGUUUCAAUGACUCGCUCGGCACCUUAUG
rnacentral:rRNA from 1 species